UGGGGAAUAUUGGACAAUGGGCGCAAGCCUGAUCCAGCCAUGCCGCGUGAGUGACGAAGGCCUUAGGGUUGUAAAGCUCUUUCGGCGGGGAAGAUAAUGACGGUACCCGCAGAAGAAGCCCCGGCUAACUCUGUGCCAGCAGCCGCGGUAAUACAGAGGGGGCAAGCGUUGUUCGGAAUCACUGGGCGUAAAGCGUGCGUAGGCGGUCUCGCAAGUCCGAUGUGAAAUCCCCGGGCUUAACCUGGGAACUGCGUUGGAAACUAUGAGGCUAGAGUGCGGCAGAGGGGGGUGGAAUUCCAGGUGUAGCAGUGAAAUGCGUAGAGAUCUGGAGGAACACCGAUGGCGAAGGCAGCCCCCUGGGUUAGCACUGACGCUCAUACACGAAAGCGUGGGGAGCAAACAGGAUUAGAUACCCUCGUAGUCCCUGAGCGGGCUGGCAAGGCGCAU
rnacentral:rRNA from 1 species